rfam:Treponema porcinum strain ATCC BAA-908 genome assembly, contig: EI69DRAFT_scaffold00001.1
GACUCAUUAGCUCAGCUGGAUAGAGCAUUUGCCUCCUAAGCAAAAGGUCGCACGUUCGACUCGUGUAUGAGUCA